CAGUAGCCGCGGUAAUACGUAGGGUGCGAGCGUUAAUCGGAAUUACUGGGCGUAAAGCGUGCGCAGGCGGUUUUGUAAGACAGAGGUAAAAUCCCCGGGCUCAACCUGGGAACUGCCUUUGUGACUGCAAGGCUAGAGUACGGCAGAGGGGGAUGGAAUUCAGCGUGUAGCAGUGAAAUGCGUAGAUAUGCGGAGGAACACCGAUGGCGAAGGCAAUCCCCUGGGCCUGUACUGACGCUCAUGCACGAAAGCGUGGGGAGCAAACAGGAUUAGAUACCCCGGUAGUCCCUGUCUCUUAUAC
rnacentral:rRNA from 1 species